rnacentral:tRNA from 1 species
GCGCUCGUAGCUCAGUGGAUAGAGCAUCUGGCUUCGAACCAGAGGGUCGGGGGUUCGAUCCCCUCCGAGCGCA